GGCCUACAUCGCGUCAGCGGGGCCUUGGGCGUGAGCACCGCCCCCUGUCCGGACGCAGGGUACUGGGGCACCUCGAACUGUGGCACCUCACCCUUCUCCGGGGCCACGUCUUGGGGACUCCGACAGCCCCAAAUAAGCCCUCGGGGACUGGGGUUGUGAAAAGCGAGGUCGUGAAGACGCCGGCCUCAUACCGAAGGGUAGGACGGUGAGGUCAGCCCCGUCCCACUCCAACUAAAAUCAACCUGACAGGAGGUGGUUCAGGAAAACGGUCCCAUUUGGCACCUCAAGUCUAGGUCCCUCAAGUCUCUACAACAGUAUGCAAAGAAAAUGUUCAUCUUCAUUCUUCUUAUAGUUUUCUGGUAACUUACUGAACCAAGCGCACACACACUCUCCAAGGACAAACAUUUUUCAGUGCUGGGACAAUGCAAAUUCAGCUCUCGGCAGACUACUACACACUGUGCAUGAUAUACCAAGACUAAAAGACUCAUAACCUACCCGCAGAAAGAGUGCAUCUUCCAUAGUAGCUCUGCAAAAAGAUCCAAAAGAAACUGUUAAUGGCCUGGCUUAAGUCAAAUUGUGUCCGGAAUUGGUGGGUUCUUCGUCUCACUGACUUCAAGUAUGAAGCCGACCCUCACGGUCAGUGUUACAGCUCUUAAGAUGGCGCCUCUGGAGUUUGUUCCUUCUGAUGUUCGGAUGUGUUCGGAGUUUCUUCCUUCUGGUGGGAUCGUGGUCUCGCUGGCUCAGGAGUGAAGCUGCAGACCUUCGCAACAGAGUCUUGCUGUCUCCCAGGCUGGAGUGCAGUAGCACGAUCUCAACUCACUGCAAGCUCCGCCUCCCGGGUUCACGCCAUUCUCCUGCCUCAGCCUCCCGAGUAGCUGGGACUACAGGUGCCCACCACCACACCGGGCUAAUUUUUUGUAUUUUUAGUAGAGGCGGGGUUUCACCGUGUUAGCCAGGCUGGUCUCAAUCUCCUAACCUCGUGAUCCACCCGCCUCAGCUUCCCUAAAUGCUGGGAUUACAGGUGUGAGCCACUGCACCCAGCUACUAUAUGCUUUAUAGCUUGAUCUCACUUGAUUCUCAUGACAAUUCUCUUAUAUGAGUAUAUUCAUUUUACCAGUGAAGAAACCAAGUCAUCAAGAAGUUAAAGGACUUGCCCAAGGUCACAAAGCCAGUUGUGAGUAAAAGUCAGUCUGUCCUCAUAGCCUUUGUUCUUUAUUAUGUUAUAUGGCCUUCCAACAUGGAUCACAAACAUGUAAUAAACUAAAAUCAGCUUUCUACAG
ensembl:lncRNA CYP51A1-AS1 CYP51A1 antisense RNA 1